UACAGGGGGGUGCAAACGUUGCUCGGAAUCAUUUGGGCGUAAAGCGCACGUAGGCGGUUCGUUAUGUCGGAUGUGAAAGCCCUUGGCUUAACCGAGGAAGUGCAUCCGAAACUGGCGAGCUAGAGUACGAAAGAGGAUCGCGGAAUUCCCGGUGUAGAGGUGAAAUUCGUAGAUAUCGGGAGGAACACCGGUGGCGAAGGCGGCGAUCUGGGUCGAUACUGACGCUGAGGUGCGAAAGCGUGGGGGAGCAAACAGG
rnacentral:rRNA from 1 species